GAGUUUGAUCAUGGCUCAGGAUGAACGCCGGCGGUGUGCCUAAUACAUGCAAGUCGUACGCACUGGCCCAACUGAUUGAUGGUGCUUGCACCUGAUUGACGAUGGAUCACCAGUGAGUGGCGGACGGGUGAGUAACACGUAGGUAACCUGCCCCGGAGCGGGGGAUAACAUUUGGAAACAGAUGCUAAUACCGCAUAACAACAAAGGCCACAUGGCUUUUGUUUGAAAGAUGGCUUUGGCCAUCACUCUGGGAUGGACCUGCGGUGCAUUAGCUAGUUGGUAAGGUAACGGCUUACCAAGGCGAUGAUGCAUAGCCGAGUUGAGAGACUGAUCGGCCACAAUGGAACUGAGACACGGUCCAUACUCCUACGGGAGGCAGCAGUAGGGAAUCUUCCACAAUGGGCGCAAGCCUGAUGGAGCAACACCGCGUGAGUGAAGAAGGGUUUCGGCUCGUAAAGCUCUGUUGUUGGAGAAGAACGUGCGUGAGAGUUAAC
rnacentral:rRNA from 1 species